AUCACUUGAUGAUUAUCUGUUCAUUCCCUCUGGGGCACCUGGCACUGGCCACUGUCAGAAGACAGGAUACAGGGCUAGAUGGACCUUUGUUUUGAUCCAGUAUGGCUAGUCUUUUGUUCCUUAUGUUCUUGGUUGGAUGAACCAGUCCUGGCUAUUAGAGGAGCAGAUGAUUUCAAAAGACCACUGUCUUGGAUCUGGGAAUCCUGGGCAGACUAAUUCCUUUCCUUUAGAGUAUGACAGAAAAACUCAUUUCCUCCUUCCUUCUAUUCCAAGCUUCGUUCCUUUUUUCAAAGACUCGCCUCUAGGGAGCACAGAGAGAUCCAUGUGCACAAAGUGCUCGUCCAACCUGUAGCAGUGGAGGCCUGCUCUGGCCUCAGCCAGCAAGAACAGGCCUUGCCAGAGAAGCCCAAGAGAAGCAAAUGCUCGUGGAAGAUCCUGUCAGGCAUGAAAAGACUCUGUGUUUGUAGCCAAUCUGACAACUUGAUGGCAGAUAUUGAUCAGGAGAGAACAGUUUCCUCUCCAAGAAGGUGGACGUGCUUUUCCCUGAAGAAGGAGGAGAAGAAGAAGAAGAAGAAGAAAAAGAAAGCAGCCAAGAACCAGGUGGAGUCAGAGGAGGAGAAACUGCAGGAGAAGCAAGACAAUGUUGAACUGGAUCUUACAGGCGAGGAUACAAACCACAUGGUUAGCAAGGAACAUGUGAGGAAUACUCACACCAGUCACUCUACAAGCCUUAUGUAAGUGGGGGAACGGUGGGGAACUUUCCUGGCUUCUGCACUACUCUGGUGAAAUGGGCUAGCGGAAGGAUCUGAGUCCUCACUUCCACUUCCUUUUCCCCGGGGCCUCCCUGCCCUCGAGGAUUCCCCUUCCACUCUACUGUCUGGCAGAGUCCAAAGCACAGGGUCUGCACCAUUAAGAGAAAUAACGGGGAAUAACGUCAUCCAGACUCUUCUGAUCUUUCCAUAAGGUUCCGUCCUGCUUCCAUUCCAGGAAUGGGGGGAAGGUUCAGGAGCUUCCAAAUGUCUCCUCCCCUCUCAGGAGCCAAUCCUCCUUUGUAACACGCUGGAGAGGAAAUGAGACAUGACAAAAGGACAACAGCGAAUGGCAAUGGAGGCAGGGGGCAGAUUGGGAUAGUUGAGUGAAAUUCUUUCCCCACUCCAGGCAAUGAAGACCAUUUACGAGGUCCUUUCCUAUGGGGAUACCGAGAAGCCAUCCUGGAAAUGUAUCCCCAGCUGCUCAUCCUCUGCAUCAGGCAAGUGCAGUAUGUGAUGGAUCUGCACUUGCCAGGGACCUACACGGCCAGCGAGACAUCCAGCCCCGAGGAGGGAUCCAGCUGCCUCAGUCCCCUAAGCAGUGGAGGCUGUGAAGACUCUUUUCUCCAUGUCCGGCUACUAGAAGGAAUUUGCCAUCAUCCAGUUUCAGCAGGGUUGGGACAUGAUAGCCUCCCAAUAAUACUACUCACAGGGUGUUGGCCUGAUUCCAAGAGCCAUGAUCGAGUUUGAGAUCCCUCAGCUCCCUGCAGUUUUCAAAGAGGCAAUCACCAUCGUCCAGAGUGAGAGGGAGGAGGAGCAGAGAACGAUCGCCAUGGCUUUCUGCACUGAGUUUCUCCAGAGUCCUUCCAUUGACACAGUACUGACAAAAUCAGAGCUCCGGGCGCAGCUCAAGGAAUGGACCAAAGACACAAAUCCCGUCAUAUGGAGGCUCAGUCUGUGAGGCCUUGGCAGUAUUGUGCUCCAGCCAGAAAAGGUGAGAGGCGUGGAUUGCCCAGGGGACCGAUGUCUCUCAAAUAGCUCGGAAAUGAGAGCGAGAUCCCCACACAAACCUUGUUGUUUUUAACACACAACACUGACAUGUUGGAGGUGCUUUACUGAGCAAAUCAAGGCAUGACAUGCUCCCUUCUCCCGUGAGCUGACCCCUGAUUGCAGAUGUGAUGUAAUGUGGGAGGUGGGGAGAGCAAAGACAAAGGUUACAGUGAGCAGCUGGCACAGAGUGACAGGAGAAUGACUUUCUGCCCCGUUGGGGGGCUGUGCCAUCCGUGGUUUCUCCUAGGUGGGAGUGGUCCAGCAUGUGCUCCAGGCUGUCACCCCGGAUAGCAAUGAGUUGCCUUCUUCAUUCCUGCAGGUGAGAUUGUUACGGGCCCAGCUGCCAGGAACUGUGGCCAUGUUUUAUGACCGGGAUGGAGGGUGUGUCAAGGAGGCCAUGCAUAAAGCUGGAGACAUCAUCUACCUCCUCAAGAGGGAGGGGCUUGGCUCCAUCUCCCAGGACAUUGCAGUCAGCCUUCGCCCCUUCAUUGAUGACGAGAGGGACAGUGUGUGCUCAGCUGCCAUUUUACUGCUUGGCAACGUGGUGAGCAGGGUGCAGGACCCAGACAAACCCCUCGUGGAGCAGGAAAUCAUCCACUGCUUGCUCCCACUGCUGCUGCAUCUUGAAGACCAGGAUGAGAUUGUGACUCUGAUGCAGAACAACAAGAGCCACAUCCCCAAAUUCCUGUUCCAGGCCCUAGAGUAGCUGGAAAGCUCACAGACAACAAUAAGACAUUCUGCAGCCUUGUUCAUUGGAAAUACUAUCCGCCAUUACUGCAAUUUGUUGUCUGAAACAGUGAAUGAAGAUGACAUCUCCCUCCUGUAUGACGGUAAGGAAAUACUGCUGUGUGUUUGUGCCUCUGUGGGAAGUCUAGGGGUGCAGCACAGGGCCCAAACACAGGUUUGAAUGUGGACACAGGUCCCUCUCUGUCUAAGGACAGCGUUUAAGGAAGAAGGAUGGUCAUGCGAGCUUUCAUCGAGGUACCAUAAUAUGUGUACGGGAGCAGGGGAAUUCCAUCCCUAGCUCCUAGUAUAGACGUAGCCUUAGAGCUGCGUGGGGAAACUCUCUUCAUCAAGGUCAGAAAGUCUCUAAAGGAAGGCCUGACGGAAUUGAAAAGAACCAUUGUUAUUAAGGAUGAUGAUGAUGAUGACGAUUACCCUCUGUAGGGGAAAGAUUCAUCACCUGCCCUCCCUGUAAUGGAGUGAUUGCAGGCCAGGGAACUUCACUCCCAGAUUGGUUAUCAGCUCAUAGGAAAUCCCAUGAGUGCACAUGGGAAACGCUUUUCCCUGUGACCUCUUCAGGAAUGAAGGCACAGGGCCACAAAGGAUUUCAGUAAACAUUAGGAGCCUAAUUCCCUUUCCCUCUCGGCCUAAAUGUUUGAUGGUUUAAUGCCGCUGCUACUGUCACUUUCCUGUUCCAUUGACUUUCCUGUUCCAUUGGACUCUGGCCUUUGGGCCACACAGCCCCGACGGAGAGGAUGGCUACAUGGACUCUGGUCGUUGGGCCACACAGCCCCGACGGAGAGGGCGGCCGCAUGGACUCUGGCCAUUGGGCCACACAGCCCUGAGUGGGAGGGCAGCCAUUUUGACUCUGGCUGUAAGGCCAAACCACCCUGAGGCUAAGGGCAGUUAUUUAGUUUAAGCCAUGGGACCUCGCCCCUUCACCCCUCAGGCAUCGCUCAUCUGUCACCAUAAGACCCACACCAUGAUAUAAGACUCUCGGGGUCAGGAUGCAAACAGGAGUAGAAGCAAGGAGUGGCAUGUGACCCCUCUAAGAGCUCCUGCCACUCCUCUACCAAUCUGGGGGUGUUUUAUCUCCAACCACCUGCCUCAGGAAUGGAUUUGAGCAAUGGGGGAAAGUUCUGGGGCAGAGUGUUUCAUAGGGUAAGUGCCUUGGUGGGGUGACCUGCCCACAAGAGGGGCCCAUCACGGCUCCAUGAAAUCCCCCCACCGUCCUCUACUAAUCGGUCAGGGUUUUGCACACACCCCUUAGGCCAUCCCAGAAGGGAAACGUACCGAUCAGAAUAGGCAGUGCCCGAAGGUCUAGGCCAGAAGCCGCCGAUCUCGGGAGCUCCAUGUUUACGUGGCUGGCAGCGUCGCCCUGGAAUUCACAACACAACACUGUGUGGAAGAGGCCGUCUCGUUCCAAGGAUGUCUUUUGCAGAAAUCAUGGCCUAGGCCUUCAGGCUAUACCUGUUCUGGAUUGGUACCUGUUUCCCUUCUGAGAUGGCCUAAGGUGAGAGUGAAACCCUCUCCAAUUGGUAGAGGGCAAUGUGGGGACUUUUUAGGGAUCCUGUUGCGGGCAGCUCACUCCACUACGGCACUUCCCGUAUUUGGUCAAAUCCCCUCUUGGAGUGGUCCUUCAGGGCUGACGCCCACUUCAAUUGGUAGAGGACAGAGGGAGGAGUUCUCACAGGGGAUAUACAGCCCCCUUCUGGAUGGGUCACCCUGCCCCGGAACGUCCCCGAAUUGGUCAACUCCAGUCUCCGGGUGUGUAAAAUGCUGUUUGCCACUGCCAAAUUUUUGUAAAAGAAGGGAAGAAAGGCAUGUACGUUUUGUGUUAUCUAUAAGGUGGCCAUCUUGGACUUGGCAAAAGAAUAUGAUGACCUUUUGCCAUUGGCUAUAUUAUUUUGGGUUGGGAAGCACACUCCCACGCACGGAUUGAAUCCGCGUAGAUAGGGUCUAACAUCCAGGCAGAGAAGACGCAAAGAGGGAUAGGGAGGGUUUUUAGUUAGGUCUACUCACCUCGUUCCUGUGUCCAUCGUUGAAGUCUGUCCCUGACCUCCAAUGUCAAGAGAGCAGAAGCUGUCCAUCGCUAUCCCUGCAAGAGAAGGUAGAAAGAACAUCAACAUUACCUCAUGGGUGUAAUUGCUUGUGAGAGUGGAGCAUUUCCAGAGUUAAAGUUUUGUUAAUCCACCGCUUCUCUAGCCUAUCUUAGUCCUUUUCCCUGUAAAAAGAAAAGGAGUACUUGUGGCACCUUAGAGACUAACAAAUUUAUUAGAGCAUAAGCUUUCGUGAGCUACAGCUCACUUCAUCGGCAUCCGAUGCAUCGGAUG